rnacentral:rRNA from 1 species
AGGGGGCAAGCGUUAUCCGGAUUUACUGGGUGUAAAGGGAGCGUAGACGGUGCGUCAAGUCUGAAGUGAAAGCCCGGGGCCCAACCCCCGGACUGCUUUGGAAACUGUAUAGCUAGAGUGCAGGAGAGGUAAGUGGAAUUCCUAGUGUAGCGGUGAAAUGCGUAGAUAUUAGGAGGAACACCAGUGGCGAAGGCGGCUUACUGGACUGUAACUGACGUUGAGGCUCGAAAGCGUGGGGAGCAA